rnacentral:rRNA from 1 species
ACGGGUGAGUAACGCGUAGGGAUCUACCUUAUGGAGGGGGAUAACCUAGGGAAACUUAGGCUAAUACCGCAUAAAGCUGAGAAGUGAAAGUGAGGGACCCGAAAGGGCCACACGCCAGAAGAUGAACCUGCGUUGGAUUAGCUAGUUGGUGGGGUAAAGGCCUACCAAGGCGAAGAUCCAUAGCUGGUCUGAGAGGACGACCAGCCACACUGGGACUGAGACACGGCCCAGACUCCUACGGGAGGCAGCAGUGGGGAAUAUUGGACAAUGGGCGCAAGCCUGAUCCAGCAAUGCCGCGUGUGUGAAGAAGGCCUGCGGGUUGUAAAGCACUUUCGUUGGGGAGGAAAGGCUCUUGUUUAAGAGAUAAGAGAGAUGACGUUACCCAAAUAAGAAGCACCGGCUAACUCUGUGCCAGCAGCCGCGGUAAUACAGAGGGUGCGAGCGUUAAUCGGAAUUACUGGGCGUAAAGGGUGCGUAGGUGGUUAAUUAAGUUAGAGGUGAAAGCCCUGGGCUUAACCUAGGAAUGGCCUCUAAUACUGAAUAGCUAGAGUUUGGGAGAGGGAAGUGGAAUUUCCG